UACGUAGGGGGCGAGCGUUGUCCGGAUUUAUUGGGCGUAAAGAGCUCGUAGGCGGUUCGAUAAGUCGGAUGUGAAAUCUCCACGCUCAACGUGGAGGGGCCAUUCGAUACUGUCGUGACUCGAGUCCGGUAGGGGAGUGUGGAAUUCCCGGUGUAGCGGUGAAAUGCGUAGAUAUCUGGAGGAACAUCGGUGGCGAAGGCGGCAUCCUGGACCGGUAUUGACGCUGAGGCGCGAAAGCCAGGGGAGCAAACGGG
rnacentral:rRNA from 1 species